AGAGUUUGAUCCUGGCUCAGAGUGAACGCUGGCGGCAGGCCUAACACAUGCAAGUCGAGCGGCAGCGCGGUGUAGCAAUACACUGGCGGCGAGCGGCGGACGGGUGAGGAAUGCGUCGGAAUCUGCCUUUUUGUGGGGGAUAACGUAGGGAAACUUACGCUAAUACCGCAUACGACCUACGGGUGAAAGUGGGGGACCGCAAGGCCUCACGCAGAAAGAUGAGCCGACGCCGGAUUAGCUAGUUGGCGGGGUAAAGGCCCACCAAGGCGACGAUCCGUAGCUGGUCUGAGAGGAUGAUCAGCCACACUGGAACUGAGACACGGUCCAGACUCCUACGGGAGGCAGCAGUGGGGAAUAUUGGACAAUGGGCGCAAGCCUGAUCCAGCCAUGCCGCGUGUGUGAAGAAGGCCUUCGGGUUGUAAAGCACUUUUGUCCGGAAAGAAAAGCAUUCGGUUAAUAACCGGGUGUCAUGACGGUACCGGAAGAAUAAGCACCGGCUAACUUCGUGCCAGCAGCCGCGGUAAUACGAAGGGUGCAAGCGUUACUCGGAAUUACUGGGCGUAAAGCGUGCGUAGGUGGUUCGUUAAGUCUGAUGUGAAGGCCCUGGGCUCAACCUGGGAAUGGCAUUGGAUACUGGCGACCUAGAGUGCGGUAGAGGGGUGUGGAAUUCCCGGUGUAGCAGUGAAAUGCGUAGAUAUCGGGAGGAACAUCUGUGGCGAAGGCGACACCCUGGACCAGCACUGACACUGAGGCACGAAAGCGUGGGGGAGCAAACAGGAUUAGAUACCCUGGUAGUCCAC
rnacentral:rRNA from 1 species